GGAGAUGGCGAAAUUGGUGGAAGAAACACUAUUACGGAUAGUGAAGUGAAUUGGACUGUAGCCCUAACUUAGAUUCGGCCGGUUCCAGCCACUUCCCAGGCAAACGCGUCUGACCGGUGGGCUGUGCAAGUGAUUUCGGUCAGGGAGGCAGGGCGGCGAGAUGCACGCGUCGUCGAAACGGUGCGUGGAGGACAUGCGCCGUUACCGAAAAACCUGGAAAUUCUCUAGAAUGCUCCCUGACCACCUACGAUGCCUAUUCCAUCGUCAAAUGUGCCAUUUAUACACAAUCAGGGGAGAAAGUUAAUGGAUGGAGACGGCAUGGUAUUCAACUAUCGUUUUCGAGUGGAGGCGAAGAGUUUGCAAUUUUUGUUAACAAUCUCGAUGUUGUUAGGAUGAUCGAGUGGGGCUCGAAGUUAUGGGGUGAGUUUGUGGAAGUAUAUCCGACGAGGAUGGAAUGACUUUCGAGAGAAAUUGACUUAUAUGAUGGGAAAUGGCUAUAGUAUCAGAUUUUGGGAUGAUUGUUGGUGUGAAGAUUAUC
rnacentral:lncRNA from 1 species